rnacentral:lncRNA from 1 species
UCCAUGACGUCGGCGAGAGGGUGAGGACCAGAGGUCCCCCGUCGUCACCGUAGUGAGCGCUCUGGCUCUGUGCGUGCACUUGAGUGUGCCAGCUGGGGGAGAAGGGGAGGUUGAGCGUGCGACCAGGGGCUUAGAAACACUGAUCGCCGAUUUUAAAUAUUUUCGGAGUGUUUGAAUGUUUAUCUUAAGUGACAAUCCCAGCUCUCAAAUUCAACGAAAUGAACAAUACUGAUGAGGAAGAAGAAGAGGGCGGGAACCCCACAGUCGCAUGGAGCUGUCCAUCCACCGCGCGGGAGAGGGGAGCGCUCGGAGGAAAGCCGCGCUGCAGAGGAAGUCUCUCCGCGUCUUUUCUCUUGGUGCACCACCCGGCUACGCUUCGUCUCUAAAAGCAUUUAUAGAAAAUAAACCCGAAACCCAGCGGGGUGGAGGUGAUCAGGCGCAGUUUCCAGGAGCCGUUCCCCGCGGCCGGGAAGGUCCUUUCCCCCCCCGCCGCCGGGGCGGAAUGUGGUGAUCCGGCCCGGGGCGGGGAUGACUUCAUGCGGCCGGAGCGCGGCGGCGGGCGCAGCUGCUGCAGCCGGCAGGUGGGUGGGGGCCGGCGGCGACUGACCACGCACUCGGCCCCGCGCGGCGCGGGGCGGACUGCGGCCUCCGGCGGCGGGCGCCGGGGACAUGCGCUGACUCGGUCCAGGGAAGUAUAUAAGGCAGAGGGAGUGCCAGGGGUCGGCAAAGCUCACUACAAAGUGGCUAGCUCCAGGAACUAUCCCUCUGGGAGUUUGAAAAUCCUAGAGGGACGAGUUUCCUGA